rnacentral:rRNA from 1 species
AUGUCUUCUCCAUCUCCAUCACCUCCGGUGGUUCCUUCUCAUCCCACUUUUCCUUUUCAUUAUACUCGUUGUCGACGUGUUAUGGAUGAAUCUACUGACAUGCCAUCUAUUUCUGGUGCACUGUCUUCCUCGUCCCAGCCGACUUAUGGUCUUCAGGCUCGACCUUGCCCUCCUCCUGACCGCUAUUCUCCUAGCAAAUAUGGCCUUUCGGUUGUACUUGAGCCUACCUCUUAUCGUGAUGCUGUUGUUCAUCCUGAAUGGCAGUUUGCGAUGGCAGAGGAGAUUGCCGCACUUGAGCGCAACAACACAUGGGAUCUGGUUUCUCUUCCUCCCCGUAUUCCUCCCAUCACUUGUAAGUGGGUUUAUAAGAUUAGGACUCGCUCUGAUGGUUCUCUUGAGCGUUAUAAAGCUCGUCUUGUGGCUCGUGGCUUUCAGCAGGAGCAUGGUCGUGAUUAUGAUGAGACUUUUGCUCCUGUGGCCCAUAUGACCACUGUCCGCACACUUCUCGCCGUGGCCUCUGUUCGUCACUGGUGUGUGUCACAGCUUGAUGUUAAAAAUGCCCUUCUUAAUGGUGAGUUGCGUGAGGAAGUUUAUAUGCCGCCACCACCUGGGUAUUCAGUUCCCGAUGGUAUGGUUUGUCGUCUUCGUCGCUCUCUAUAUGGCCUUAAGCAAGCCCCUCGCGCUUGGUUUGAGCGUUUUGCCUCUGUGAUCACCGCUGCUGGGUUUUCACCCAGUGAUCAUGAUCCAGCGUUGUUUGUCCACCUUUCUGCUCGUGGUCGCACUCUUCUUCUAUAUGUUGAUGACAUGAUCAUCACUGGCGACGAUUCUGAGUACAUUGCCUUUGUCAAGGCGCGUCUUAAUGAUCAGUUCCUUAUGUCUGAUCUUGGUCCUCUUCGUUACUUUCUUGGGAUUGAGGUUUCCUCCACCUUUGAUGGCUUUUUUAUUUCCCAAGAAAAGUAUAUCCAGGAUCUUCUUACUCGUGCGGCUCUUAGUGAUGAGCGCACUACUGAGACUCCUAUGGAGCUCAAUGUUCACCUUCGUGCUUCUGACGGUGUGCCCUUGUCUGAUCCGACACGUUAUCGUCAUCUUGUUGGGAGUCUUGUGUAUCUUGCUGUCACUCGUCCGGAUAUCUCCUAUCCUGUCCAUAUUCUGAGUCAGUUUGUUCUGCUCCCACUUCAGUUCAUUAUAGUCACCUUCUUCGUGUUCUACGAUAUCUUCGUGGCACGAUCUCUCAUCGUCUCUUUUUCCCCCGUUCCAGCUCGUUCCAGCUCCAGGCCUAUUCGGAUGCUACGUGGGCUAGUGAUCCUACGGAUCGCCGUUCACUUUCUGCCUACUGUGUCUUUCUUGGUGGUUCCCUCAUUUCCUGGAAGACGAAGAAACAGACUGUAG